rnacentral:rRNA from 1 species
UGUCCUAGCGGCGGACGGGUGAGUAAUGCUUAGGAAUCUGCCUAUUAGUGGGGGACAACAUUCCGAAAGGAAUGCUAAUACCGCAUACGCCCUACGGGGGAAAGCAGGGGAUCUUCGGACCUUGCGCUAAUAGAUGAGCCUAAGUCAGAUUAGCUAGUUGGUGGGGUAAAGGCCUACCAAGGCGACGAUCUGUAGCGGGUCUGAGAGGAUGAUCCGCCACACUGGGACUGAGACACGGCCCAGACUCCUACGGGAGGCAGCAGUGGGGAAUAUUGGACAAUGGGCGAAAGCCUGAUCCAGCCAUGCCGCGUGUGUGAAGAAGGCCUUUUGGUUGUAAAGCACUUUAAGCGAGGAGGAGGCUACUUAGAUUAAUACUCUAGGAUAGUGGACGUUACUCGCAGAAUAAGCACCGGCUAACUCUGUGCCAGCAGCCGCGGUAAUACAGAGGGUGCGAGCGUUAAUCGGAUUUACUGGGCGUAAAGCGUGCGUAGGCGGCUUUUUAAGUCGGAUGUGAAAUCCCUGAGCUUAACUUAGGAAUUGCAUUCGAUACUGGGAAGCUAGAGUAUGGGAGAGGAUGGUAGAAUUCCAGGUGUAGCGGUGAAAUGCGUAGAGAUCUGGAGGAAUACCGAUGGCGAAGGCAGCCAUCUGGCCUAAUACUGACGCUGAGGUACGAAAGCAUGGGGAGCAAACAGGAUUAGAUACCCUGGUAGUCCAUGCCGUAAACGAUGUCUACUAGCCGUUGGGGCCUUUGAGGCUUUAGUGGCGCAGCUAACGCGAUAAGUAGACCGCCUGGGGAGUACGGUCGCAAGACUAAAACUCAAAUGAAUUGACGGGGGCCCGCACAAGCGGGGGAGCAUGGGGGUUAAUUCGAUGCAACGCGAAAAAC